rnacentral:rRNA from 1 species
GACGAACGCUGGCGGCGUGCUUAACACAUGCAAGUCGAACGGAAAGGCCCUGCGUUUGUGGGGUGCUCGUGUGGCGAACGGGUGAGUAACACGUGAGUAAACUGCCCCUGUCUUUGGGAUAACUUCAGGAAACUGGGGCUAAUACAGGAUAGGAGCUACUGCUGCAUGGUGGGGGUUGGAAAGUUUCGGCGGUUGGGGAUGGACUCGCGGCUUAUCAGCUUGUUGGUGGGGUAGGGGCUUACCAAGGCUUUGACGGGUAGCCGGCCUGGGAGGGUGACCGGCCACAUUGGGACUGAGAUACGGCCCAGACUCCUACGGGAGGCAGCAGUGGGGAAUAUUGCACAGUGGGCGGAAGCCUGAUGCAGCGACGCCGCGUGCGGGAUGACGGCCUUCGGGUUGUGAACCGCUUUCGCCUUUGACGAAGCGUGAGUGACGGUAAUGAGUAAGGAAGCACCGGCUAACUACGUG